AACGAACGCUGGCGGCGUGCCUAACACAUGCAAGUCGAGGGAGAAAGCCGCAAGGUGAGUAAACCGGCGAACGGGUGCGUAACACGUGGAUAAUCUACCUUCCUGACUGGGAUAACUGGCCGAAAGGCUUGCUAAUACCAGAUAAGCCCACGAGCUCUUUGGAGCACGAGGGAAAAGGUGGCCUCUGUAUACAAGCUAUCACAGGGGAGAUGAGUCCGCGGCCCAUCAGCUAGUUGGCGGGGUAAAAGCCCACCAAGGCAACGACGGGUAGCUGGUCUGAGAGGAUGAUCAGCCACACUGGAACUGAGACACGGUCCAGACUCCUACGGGAGGCAGCAGUGGGAAUCUUGCGCAAUGGGCGAAAGCCUGACGCAGCAACGCCGCG
rnacentral:rRNA from 1 species